rnacentral:rRNA from 1 species
CACUCCUGCGGGAGGCAGCAGUGAGGAAUAUUGGACAAUGGGUGGAAGCCUGAUCCAGCCAUCCCGCGUGCAGGAAGACGGCCCUAUGGGUUGUAAACUGCUUUUAUCUGGGGAUAAACCUACUUACGUGUAAGUAGCUGAAGGUACCAGAAGAAUAAGCACCGGCUAACUCCGUGCCAGCAGCCGCGGUAAUACGGAGGGUGCAAGCGUUAUCCGGAUUUAUUGGGUUUAAAGGGUCCGUAGGCGGACUGAUAAGUCAGUGGUGAAAUCCGACAGCUUAACUGUCGAACUGCCAUUGAUACUGUUAGUCUUGAGUAAGGUUGAAGUGGCUGGAAUAAGUAGUGUAGCGGUGAAAUGCAUAGAUAUUACUUAGAACACCAAUUGCGAAGGCAGGUCACUAAGUCUUAACUGACGCUGAUGGACGAAAGCGUGGGGAGCGAACAGGAUUAGAAACCCUUGUAGUCCCAUGA